UACUGCAAUGACAGCACUGCUAACACAUUAUAGUCUGAUCCCAUCGGCUCUCGGAAGGUAAGCAAGGCUGGGCCGGGUCAUUUCUGUGAUGGUUGACCACUGAGGAAGACAAGGCUGGUGCAUUAA
rnacentral:rRNA from 1 species